rnacentral:tRNA from 1 species
GCCCGCGUAGCUCAACCGGAGGAGCACCUGGCUACGAACCAGGAGGCUGGAGGUUCGAUUCCUUCCGCGGGUGCCA